rnacentral:rRNA from 1 species
GACGAACGCUGGCGGCGUGCCUAAUACAUGCAAGUAGAACGCACAGUUUAUACCGUAGCUUGCUACACCAUAGACUGUGAGUUGCGAACGGGUGAGUAACGCGUAGGUAACAUGCCUGGUAGCGGGGGAUAACUAUUGGAAACGAUAGCUAAUACCGCAUAAUAUUAAUUAUUGCAUGAUAAUUAAUUGAAAGGUGCAAUUGCACCACUACCAGAUGGACCUGCGUUGUAUUAGCUAGUAGGUGAGGUAACGGCUCACCUAGGCGACGAUACAUAGCCGACCUGAGAGGGUGAUCGGCCACACUGGGACUGAGACACGGCCCAGACUCCUACGGGAGGCAGCAGUAGGGAAUCUUCGGCAAUGGACGAAAGUCUGACCGAGCAACGCCGCGUGAGUGAAGAAGGUUUUCGGAUCGUAAAGCUCUGUUGUAAGAGAAGAACGGGUGUGAGAGUGGAAAGUUCACACUGUGACGGUAUCUUACCAGAAAGGGACGGCUAACUACGUGCCAGCCGCCGCGGUAAAAC